rnacentral:tRNA from 1 species
CUGGGGAUGUAGCUUAGUGGUAGACUGCUUGCCUAGCAUGCAUAAAGCCCUGGGUUCAGUCCCCAAUUCCCAGU